rnacentral:tRNA from 1 species
UUCUUGGUGGUCCAGUGGCUAAGACUCUGCAUUCCCAAUGUAGGAAGUCUGGGUUCAAUCCCUGGUCAAGGAA